CAUGAGUUGUUUAUACUGCAAUGACUCUAGUAAAAUGUGCAGUCCUUGGUGGAUGGCUGAAUGUUGAAUGAUGAUCAUUACACAAAGAGAUUUUAAUUCUCAGCCUGCUGGAACUGAGGUGAGGGUGAAGAAUGGCAGAAGUGCUCCAGCAUGCAGGUAACCUCUCUCUGAGCAGCACCUGAGGCAACACUGGAACAGUUCUAUCAACCACCAAAACAAGCAGAACAGGAACUGUAGUACUAAAGAGUGGUCAGAAGUGAUACUCAAACUGCACAUAUUGCACUCAUGACCCAACAUGGAGCACCUCGUGUGCUGGACAGCAGGAGGAGAUCUGCUGCUUCCUCACCUUGUAAUUUCCAGAAGCAUCGGUCCCCAACAGCAGGGCCAUAUGCAUCUUCACAUUACAUGUAUAUCUCAGUGUUAAGCCAGUUCUCCAGCUCUUUUGUGCCCAAAGAAAGAGGGAUGGCCAGUGACACCAUAGCUAAAUAAAAGCUCAGGGUAAAUAACUGUUUUAUUUUCUUUGUCUAUCAAGAUGCUACUAGGUUCCCUACCAGAGAAUUCAGUGGGUCAUGGCUAGAGUACUGAACAAACCAUGAAAUCUGAAACUAGCAAAUGGAAACUAUAAAUAUCUACAGGUAUACAUGAAGGAGUAACUCAACUAGAAUAUGCCAGAUACUAGGACAAUGUCAUUCCUUUUUAAUUAACAGAUAAUUUGAUAAUAAAUGCUGAUAUUAAGAAAGACAUUAAAAAUAAUGAAUUUAUAUAAAGUUGCUAAAGCUUAAAGAUGUUUUUAAAGUGAUUGAAUCAAAUGAAAGCAGAUGCCUGUCUGCAUACAUCCAAUAUUAAUACUGAGAAUGUAAUACCUACAUCUAGUUUAUUCAAAAAAUAUACCUUGUUUCAAAUAAAUUCAAGUUCUUUUAUGUCUGGCUUUAGCUUUCCUGAAUUGCAAUCACAACAAGAUCUGAGUGUGUAUCUGUUUUUUCAGGCUUGUUUUGGUUUUAAUGUUAUUAUUUAGUAAUUCAGCUGAGAUGGUCUGAAAUUAAAUUUAGCUAAAAUUACAUUAAAGUGGAGCAACAAUCACUAGACAGUCUAAAAAAAAAAAAGAAAAAAAAAAAAAAAAAGAGUGAUGCUUGUUGGUUUUGCCUGAAUAAACCAAUUACAGCAGCCUAUUGAGAUUAAGAGCAACUAAACAGAACUCUGGAAUAAAUGUUGUCUGGCUGACUUUAAAUGGGGGCCAUGAAUUUUCCCUGCUAGUACAUACUAUAUGAUGUUGCAAUGAGAAGUAGAACAGAGAGUCAUAAGCUUUACAACACAGGUGACAUUAGAAAACAUUGACUGUGGGACCUCUUCUCUACAGAUCAUGGCAAUUGCAUUCAUCAUUCAUCAGUUCUUUUAACAGAAAACAAGUUCCAUACCUUUCACAGCUACAGACUAUGUUUACAAAGAAAGUAAGCAUGGACUAACUUCAUUAAAAGAAUGGAAACAAAGUGAAUGAGCACUGCACGAUCCCAUGAGCUCUCCAGAGAGAGCCACAGAACAUUCUGAAGAAGACUGGUGGCCCACAGAGCACAGUCAAGGAGCUGCUGAAGGAGAGGUGUCAUUGCAAUAAGCCUGAUUUGCUUGCAAUUCUUUCUUUUUUCUUUUUAAAGGAAAUUAAAAAAAAAAAAAAAAAGGAAAACCUAUUUGUCCAAGAAUUAUUCUAACUACUGCAAUAAUCCAUAAUCAAGUAACCAAACAUCUGCAGAUCUAAAGAUGAGCAACACAGAGGAAUCUGAAGCUUUAUGAGACUUUGCUUUGCUUUCACAUAUGCAACGUUUAGUAAGCAUGUCCCGCUUAAUAUACUGUUCCUUCAAUAUGAGACUUUAAUUUAUCUGCACUCUCAGUUGUGUUAUGAUUGCAAGCAUUUUUAGCCAUGUAUAUAAAGCCCCAAUACAGGAGUAAGUUGUGAAAAUGUAAAACAUUUCACAAUAGUUCAUAAACCAAAUCUCACUAAAGGAAAUGCACAGUGGACAUUGAAUCAGACACACAGUGCACAAUGGUGCACACCUGGUGCACAAUAAGAACACUGAACUCCAUUAAAGAAUUAAAAAUACUAUACACAGCAUUAUAUAUAUAUAUACAUAUGGCUGGUGGCCAGUCACUAGCAGGGAUCAGUUCUAGGGCCAGUUCUGUUCAACAUUUUUAACAAUGAUUCUGGAGUUGAAUGCAAGUUCACUGAUGACACUGAACUGGGAGGUGUUGUUGACUUCCUGGAGAGUCAAGAGGCCUGAAGAGUUGUCAAGAUAGAUUGUAGCAUUGAACAAUGAGCAACGGCAUGAAAUUCAACAAAAGAAAAUGCCUGGUUCUUCACCUGGGAUGGAAAGAGUCUAGACACAGGUACAGACUGGGAGACGAGUGGCUGGAGAGCAGCACUGAAGAAAAGGACCUGGGGGCACUGGUUGGUAGCAGGCUCAGCAUGAGCCAGCAGUGUGCCCUGGCAGCCAAGAGGGCAAAACAUAUUUUGGGGUGCAUUAAACACAGUGUAUCCAGAUGGUCAAAAGAGGUGAUUCUCCUGCUUUGCUCUGGCCUCACGUUGAAUAUUGUGUAAAGGUCUCUGCUCCACAAUAAUAAAAGACAUUAAGGUACUUGAAAGCAUCCAGAGGAGGGCAACAAAACUGGUAAAAGAGCUGGAAGGCAUGUCCUAUGAGGAGAGGCUGAGGACACUUGAAUCAUUUGGUUUGGAGAAAAGGAGGCUCAGAGGCAACUUCAUUGCUCCCUACAGCUUCCUGAAGAGGGAGGUGCCAGUCUUCUCCCAAGGAACUAGUGGCAAGAUGCACAGGAACAGCACAAAGCUGAAUCCAGGGAGGUUCAUACUGGGUAUGAGGAAAAAUUUAUUUACUGUGAGGGUGGUCAAACACUAGAACGGGUUUGCUAGAGGGGUAGUUGAUGCCCCAAGCUUGCCAGUGUUCAAGAGGCAUUUGGACAAUGCCCUCAGUAAUAUGUUUUAACUUUUGGUUAGCCUUGAAGUGAUCAGGCAGUCCAGCUCAACGGUCUUCAUAGGUCCCUUAGAACUGACAUAUUCCAUUCCAUUCCAUUCCAUUCCAUUCCAUUCCAUUCCAUUCCAUUCCAUUUGAUUCUCUCUAUAUAUGUGUGAUUUUAAGACUGCCAAAACAUAGCAUAGUUGUUAUAACUUUAUUGUAAUUAUUUUUAGCAACAUAAGUUACUAAAUAUGGCAUGAAAAUAAAUUAGUCAGGCUAUUCAGGCAGAUGUAAUGAAACCAUAUACCUUUGGGAAGAACUAAUUUCUAAUUUAAGAGAGAGAGAGAGAGAGAGAGAGAACAAGACAACUGUUUAAAAUCAACAACAGUGAAAUAUUUGCUUUUAACCACGGAAUGAUUUACCUUCUUUCAUUCAAAGUUGUUUUCCCGGGUGUGUACUUAGCUGUGUUUAUGUCAUGUUUAUUUUAAUAGAAGAAAGAUUAAUUUUUUAUACAUUAGUACAAGUGUAAACAGUUUAGACAUAAGAGACUUUUCCAAGACUUCUGAUUAAAAAGGACAGAAACUUACAACUACAGGACCUAUAUAUACUCCAAAAUACUCUGAGAGUGAUGUCUCUAAACUAGGGAUUGCAAUGUCUAAACUGAAUAAGCUUUUAAUAUAUCAAGUACAUGUGUGUGACAGAUAUUUGCUGAGUCAAUGAGCAUAUGAGAUCCAACAAGAUCUGAAAGAUGAUGUAAGAUACAUUCAGUUUUAAAAUAAAGGUAUUCUUAAUAGUCAAAGAAAUUAUCAAUAAAACAACAUGAUGAUGCAUUUGAA